AUUGAACGCUGGCGGCAUGCUUUACACAUGCAAGUCGAACGGCAGCGGGGAGGAGCUUGCUUCUCUGCCGGCGAGUGGCGAACGGGUGAGUAAUACAUCGGAACGUGUCGAGAAGAGGGGGAUAACCACCCGAAAGGGUGGCUAAUACCGCAUAAAUUCUGAGGAAGAAAGCUGAGGACCUAGGAAUAGGCCUAGCGCUUUUUGAGCGGCCGAUGUCGGAUUAGCUAGUUGGUGAGGUAAAGGCUCACCAAGGCGAAGAUCUGUAGCGGGUCUGAGAGGAUGAUCCGCCACACUGGGACUGAGACACGGCCCAGACUCCUACGGGAGGCAGCAGUGGGGAAUUUUGGACAAUGGGGGCAACCCUGAUCCAGCCAUGCCGCGUGUAUGAAGAAGGCCUUAGGGUUGUAAAGUACUUUUGUUAGGGAAGAAAAGUCAGCUGUGAAUAAUGGCUGAUACUGACGGUACCUAAAGAAUAAGCACCGGCUAACUACGUG
rnacentral:rRNA from 1 species